UACGUAGGGUGCAAGCGUUGUCCGGAAUUAUUGGGCGUAAAGGGCUCGUAGGCGGUCCAUCGCGUCGGGAGUGAAAAGCUGGGGCUUAACCCCAGUCCUGCCUCCGAUACGGGUGGACUAGAGGUAGGUAGGGGAGAUCGGAAUUCCUGGUGUAGCGGUGAAAUGCGCAGAUAUCAGGAGGAACACCAAUGGCGAAGGCAGCUCGCUGGAACGGUACUGACGCUGAGGCGCGAAAGCGUGGGGAGCAAACAGG
rnacentral:rRNA from 1 species